rnacentral:rRNA from 1 species
AGAGUUUGAUCAUGGCUCAGAUUGAACGCUGGCGGCAGGCCUAACACAUGCAAGUCGAGCGGUAGCACAGAGAGCUUGCUCUCGGGUGACGAGCGGCGGACGGGUGAGUAAUGUCUGGGAAACUGCCUGAUGGAGGGGGAUAACUACUGGAAACGGUAGCUAAUACCGCAUAAUGUCGCAAGACCAAAGUGGGGGACCUUCGGGCCUCAUGCCAUCAGAUGUGCCCAGAUGGGAUUAGCUUGUAGGUGGGGUAACGGCUCACCUAGGCGACGAUCCCUAGCUGGUCUGAGAGGAUGACCAGCCACACUGGAACUGAGACACGGUCCAGACUCCUACGGGAGGCAGCAGUGGGGAAUAUUGCACAAUGGGCGCAAGCCUGAUGCAGCCAUGCCGCGUGUGUGAAGAAGGCCUUCGGGUUGUAAAGCACUUUCAGCGGGGAGGAAGGCGGUGAGGUUAAUAACCUCAUCGAUUGACGUUACCCGCAGAAGAAGCACCGGCUAACUCCGUGCCAGCAGCCGCGGUAAUACGGAGGGUGCAAGCGUUAAUCGGAAUUACUGGGCGUAAAGCGCACGCAGGCGGUCUGUCAAGUCGGAUGUGAAAUCCCCGGGCUCAACCUGGGAACUGCAUUCGAAACUGGCAGGCUAGAGUCUUGUAGAGGGGGGUAGAAUUCCAGGUGUAGCGGUGAAAUGCGUAGAGAUCUGGAGGAAUACCGGUGGCGAAGGCGGCCCCCUGGACAAAGACUGACGCUCAGGUGCGAAAGCGUGGGGAGCAAACAGGAUUAGAUACCCUGGUAGUCCACGCCGUAAACGAUGUCGAUUUGGAGGUUGUGCCCUUGAGGCGUGGCUUCCGGAGCUAACGCGUUAAAUCGACCGCCUGGGGAGUACGGCCGCAAGGUUAAAACUCAAAUGAAUUGACGGGGGCCCGCACAAGCGGUGGAGCAUGUGGUUUAAUUCGAUGCAACGCGAAGAACCUUACCUGGUCUUGACAUCCACAGAACUUUCCAGAGAUGGAUUGGUGCCUUCGGGAACUGUGAGACAGGUGCUGCAUGGCUGUCGUCAGCUCGUGUUGUGAAAUGUUGGGUUAAGUCCCGCAACGAGCGCAACCCUUAUCCUUUGUUGCCAGCGGUUCGGCCGGGAACUCAAAGGAGACUGCCAGUGAUAAACUGGAGGAAGGUGGGGAUGACGUCAAGUCAUCAUGGCCCUUACGACCAGGGCUACACACGUGCUACAAUGGCAUAUACAAAGAGAAGCGACCUCGCGAGAGCAAGCGGACCUCAUAAAGUAUGUCGUAGUCCGGAUUGGAGUCUGCAACUCGACUCCAUGAAGUCGGAAUCGCUAGUAAUCGUAGAUCAGAAUGCUACGGUGAAUACGUUCCCGGGCCUUGUACACACCGCCCGUCACACCAUGGGAGUGGGUUGCAAAAGAAGUAGGUAGCUUAACCUUCGGGAGGGCGCUUACCACUUUGUGAUUCAUGACUGGGGUGAAGUCGUAACAAGGUAACCGUAGGGGAACCUGCGGUUG